UGGGGAAUAUUGCACAAUGGGGGAAACCCUGAUGCAGCGACGCCGCGUGAACGAAGAAGGUAUUCGUAUCGUAAAGUUCUGUCCUAUGGGAAGAUAAUGACAGUACCAUAGAAGAAAGCUCCGGCUUAAUACGUGCCAGCAGCCGCGGUAAUACGUAUGGAGCGAGCGUUGUCCGGAAUUAUUGGGCGUAAAGGGUACGCAGGCGGUUUAAUAAGUCGAAUGUUAAAGAUCGGGGCUCAACCCCGCAAAGCAUUGGAAACUGAUAAACUUGAGUAGUGGAGAGGAAAGUGGAAUUCCUAGUGUAGUGGUGAAAUACGUAGAUAUUAGGAGGAAUACCAGUAGCGAAGGCGACUUUCUGGACACAAACUGACGCUGAGGUACGAAAGCGUGGGGAGCAAACAGG
rnacentral:rRNA from 1 species